AGAAUUGACGGGGCCGCACAAGCGGUGAGCAUGUGGUUAAUUCGACGCAACGCGAAGAACCUUACCAGGGCUUGACAUCCCCUGACCGCGUAUGAAAGUACGUUUUCACCCUCGGGUGGCAGGGAGACAGGUGGUGCAUGGGUUGUCGUCAGCUCGUGUCGUGAGAUGUUGGGUUAAGUCCCGCAACGAGCGCAACCCCUACGUCUAGUUGCUAACGCGUGAAGGCGAGCACUCUAGACGAACUGCCGUUGACAAAACGGAGGAAGGUGGGAUGACGUCAAAUCAUCAUGCCCCUUAUGUUCUGGGCUACACACGUGCUACAAUGGCCGGUACAGACGGACGCAAAGCCGCGAGGUGGAGCAAAUCCUAAAAAGCCGGUCUCAGUUCGGAUUGCAGGCUGCAAUUCGCCUGCAUGAAGUCGGAAUCGCUAGUAAUCGCAGGUCAGCAUACUGCGGUGAAUACGUUCCCGGGCCUU
rnacentral:rRNA from 1 species